rnacentral:rRNA from 1 species
GACGAAACGCUGGCGGCGUGCCUAACACAUGCAAGUCGAACGGAGAAGUUGAUUUCGGUUGACUUCUUAGUGGCGAACGGGUGAGUAACGCGUGAACAACCUGACCUCAAGAGGGGGGAUACCAACGAGAAAUCGUUGUUAAUACCGCAUAAGACCACAGCGCCGCAUGGCAAAGGGGUCAAAGGAGCAAUCCGCUUGAGGAGGGGUUCGCGUCCCAUUAGGUAGUAGGCGGGGUAACGGCCCACCUAGCCAGCGAUGGGUAGCCGAGCUGAGAGGCUGAACGGCCACACUGGAACUGAGACACGGUCCAGACUCCUACGGGAGGCAGCAGUGGGGAAUAUUGGGCAAUGGGCGCAAGCCUGACCCAGCAACGCCGCGUGAGGGAAGAAGGUUUUCGGAUUGUAAAGCUCUGUCUUCAAGGACGAAUGUAGAUAUUGUGAAUAAUGAUAUUUAAUGACGGUACUUGAGGAGGAAGCCACGGCUAACUACGUGCCAGCAGCCGCGGUAAAACGU